UACCAGCUCUCCGAGUGGUAGGGAUGAUUAUUGGGCUUAAAGCGUCCGUAGCCGGCUUAGCAAGUCUCCUGUUAAAUUCAGCGACCUAAUCGUUGAGCCGCGGGAGAUACUACUAGGCUAGGAGGCGGGAGAGGUCGACGGUACUUCUGGGGUAGGGGUGAAAUCCUAUAAUCCCGGGAGGACCACCAGUGGCGAAGGCUGUCGACUAGAACGCGCUCGACGGUGAGGGACGAAAGCUGGGGGGAGCGAACCGGAUUAGAUACCCGGGUAGUCCCAGCUGUAAACGAUGCGGGCUAGGUGUUGGGGUGGCUACGUGCCACUUCAGUGCCGCAGGGAAGCCAUUAAGCCCGCCGCCUGGGGAGUACGGCCGCAAGGCUGAAACUUAAAGGAAUUGGCGGGGAGCACCACAAGGCGUGAAGCUUGCGGUUC
rnacentral:rRNA from 1 species